GUUCAUUAUAGGAAGUCUUUGAAGGAAAAAUUAUAUUUGUAUGAAAAGGAAUAUUUUUUAGCCAUGUUGGAGAGAACAAAGAUCUAGGGAAUGGGCUUGGGGACAUUGACCCAGAUAUGAAAAUGCAGGCAUAGCGAAUUCAAUGAUGUGCAAAUGAGUAGCUGAGUUUUCCUCCCGUCCAUUCCUCUCUGCAUAUUGAGGAUGUUCCAGAACCCCAGCCCUGUGGUCUCUAAUCCCAGGGAGGGAAGUCUUAUGCUCUAUGUGCUCAUUUGCCAUGUUCUAGUUUUUGAUUGAUUAUUGUUGGCUACUCUUGCAGUGUGAUGCUGUCAUCUUGUAAGACCAAUGACAACAUCACAAGUUAUUUGGUUAUUUCAAACUCACAUUGUUUAUUUGAGGUUCUAAAGAAGUUACUAGCCAUGUUGAGAUCAAAAAGGGUAAUUACCAAACCACUGGUAGUUUAUUGAUGUCUUAUCAGAUUCUAAAAAAGGGCUGGAAAAAAACCAGUGCAGGCUUUAUUGUACUCUCGCGCUAAGUUUUAUGAAGGUUGAUUAGGUAAUAAAAUGAAGUUUGUAUUCACAUAGAAUUGUAGACUCAGAACGUAAGCAGUGAUGCUCAAAGUGAGGCCCUGGGACCAGCAGCAUCUACCUCGCCAGGUAACUUAGAAAUGCACGUUCUCAGAUCCCACCCCAGGCCUACUGAAUCAGAAAUUCAGGGGCUCCGGAGAGGUGAGGGGUCAUCUGUGUUUCCACAAGGCCCGUGCAGGGGAGUCUGAGGCUGACUAGAGUGUCAGAGAGUGCUGUGUAUUGGUUCUCAACAAUUUCUCCCCUGAUGUUAACCUUCUUCCUGGUAUAUCCUGUGUGUCUGCAUGUUGGACUCAAUCAGGUCUCACCUUUGCUUUCAUCUACCCUUGCUAGGAAACAGGAUGUAAUCUCUUGAAUUGGGGAGAGAGAAGUUCAGAAUGUGUCUAUGCUGAUGACAGUGUUGGAGACAAUGUUAACUCUUUUCUAUGCUUCUUAAAACUGCUAAGAAACUCUAAGUCUUAUAUAACAUCGAAUUAGUUAGUUAAUCAAGACAUUCCUCCUAUGGAGUACAAAAGCCUUCUUAAAAAGUAAGUAGCGACGGACAAAUGUAUUUUUUAAAUCUUUUAAAAAAAUUUUUUUUGCAGUAGGGGCCAGCCCCUGGCUGAGUGGUUAAGUUUGCGCGGUCUGCUGCUGCGGUCCACGGUUUCACCUGUUCGAAUCCUGGGUACAGACAUGGCACUGCUCAUCAAGCCACGCUGAGGCGGCAUCCCACAUGCCACAACUAGAAGGACCCACAACUAAAAAUACACAACUAUGUAAUGGGGGACUUUAGGGGAGGAAAAGGAAAAAUAAAAUCUUUAAAAAAUUUUUUUUGCGGUAACAUUGGUUUAUAACAUUAUAUAAAUUUCAGGUGUACAUCGUUAUAUAUUUCUGUGUGGAUUGCAUCAUGUUCACCACCCAAAGGCUAAGUACAAUCCAUCACCACACACAUGUGCCUAAUCACUACCUUCAUCCUCCUCCGUGCCCCCUAAAUCUUUUAAUACACCUCAGCUGCCGUCUAGCCAGGCGAACCUGUUCGGUGCGCUCACUGCAUGACAACGGUGGGUGCGGCUCGAGGGGAGUGCCUGGCCUCCAGAAUGUGCCCGAAGGCUGCAGAAUCAGACUUUUGCCAAGGGAAGAAGGAGCGCCCCAAGGACCACAUUCACUGGGGCCACAGGGAACGGCUCAACUGGGCGGGGCCUUUGCUGUCUUCUUCAUUUAACCUGUAUAGCUCAGAAAUGGAAGAGGCAAAACUCAGUUCCUCAUGAUCCCUUCUUAAAAUAGAACUCCAUCCACUUCCACGGCGGGAAAUUGCAUACCAGAGACGGUCCAGCUCUGGAGCCGUUUUGAGUUGUUUUCAGGCCCACGCCUGCUCUAAGCACACACUGUACUGAACAGAAGAUAAACUCUGGACAGCAGGGACACAGACUCUGGCGUUUCAGCCAGGACUUGGUGCUAGGUUUGCUUUUAUUAAGACAAAACAAAACAUCAUCAACAACAACAAAAACAGUGCUAUUUUAAUGAGUUGAAAGAUCUGAACUCUUCAGCUAACUUUUCUGAGUCUAUCUUUCCGGAGUCUGUGAGAUGGCUUGUGAUAACAAUAGUGUCCUUUCUUUAGGGAGCCCCUAUCACUGGGGACCCCAGAGCACCCUGUGGAUAUUUGCUCUCUUAAAUGACGCUUCUGAAGAAUAUAUUGGUCAGAAAACACUGAGAGGAGCCUCAAUUUAGGAUUAGAACACCUCAGUUCGUUCCCUUUUAUCAAAGGAAAACGAUUUUUGAUGUCUUACUAAAAUAGAACCAGUGCAUGCCCACCCAGCACGAGGAGAGUCUAUUGUGUGACUUUCUGAAGUGACCCAGGAGAGAGGCUUGCCACCUGUGAAUGACUAACACAGAUUUAUCUCGGCCCAUGCCAGCAUCUGCAAUAGGGGAC
rnacentral:lncRNA from 1 species